UACGAAGGUGGCAAGCGUUGUUCGGAUUUACUGGGCGUAAAGAGUGUGUAGGCGGUGCUCUAAGUUUGGUGUGAAAUCUCCCGGCUCAACUGGGAGGGUGCGCCGAAUACUGAAUGACUUCGAGUACGGGAGAGGUGAGUGGAAUUCCUGGUGUAGCGGUGAAAUGCGUAGAUAUCAGGAGGAACACCGGUGGUGUAGACGGCUCACUGGACCGUAACUGACGCUGAGACACGAAAGCGUGGGUAGCAAACAGG
rnacentral:rRNA from 1 species